GAUGAAGAACGUAGCGAAAUGCGAUACGUAAUGUGAAUUGCAGAAUUCAGUGAAUCAUCGAAUCUUUGAACGCAUAUUGCGCUCUUUGGUAUUCCGAAGAGCAUGCUUGUUUGAGUAUCAGUAAACACCUCAAAGCUUUUGAUUUUUUAAUCGAAAAGCUUUGGACUUGAGCAAUCCCAACACCAAUCUUUUUGAGAUCGGUGGCGGGUUGCUUGAAAUGCAGGUGCAGCUGGACAUUCUCCUGAGCUAAAAGCAUAUUCAUUUAGUCCCGUCAAACGGAUUAUUACUUUUGCUGCAGCUAACAUAAAGGGAGUUUGACCGUAUUGGCUGACUGAUGCAGGAUUUCACAAGGGUCGGCAACGAUUCUUGUUAAACUCGAUCUCAAAUCAAGUAAGACUACCCGCUGAACUUAAGCAUAUCAAUAAGCGGAGGA
rnacentral:misc_RNA from 1 species